GUGGGGAAUAUUGGACAAUGGGCGCAAGCCUGAUCCAGCAAUACCGCGUGUGUGAAGAAGGCCUGAGGGUUGUAAAGCACUUUUAAUCGGGAGGAACACCUGUAGGCGAAUACCCUGCAGUAUGACAUUACCGAUAGAAAAAGCACCGGCUAACUCCGUGCCAGCAGCCGCGGUAAUACGGAGGGUGCAAGCGUUAAUCGGAAUUACUGGGCGUAAAGCGUGCGUAGGCGGUUCGCUAAGUCAGAUGUGAAAGCCCCGGGCUUAACCUGGGAACGGCAUUUGAUACUGGUUGACUAGAGUUGAGUAGAGGAGAGUGGAAUUUCAGGUGUAGCGGUGAAAUGCGUAGAGAUCUGAAGGAACACCAGUGGCGAAGGCGACUCUCUGGACUCAAACUGACGCUGAGGUACGAAAGCGUGGGUAGCAAACAGGAUUAGAAACCCGAGUAGUCC
rnacentral:rRNA from 1 species